UCGCGCUAUCGAUAAUUUCGCGUUUGCACGGCAAAUUCGAUCACCUUUGAGCUUAAUCGAUGACACUGAAAGCGCUUGACAAAUGAUUAUUUCAACUAAAAGAUAAGAUUUGAAGUCCCUGAAAAGUUCCAUGCAGAACGUAGGUUAUUUAUACGUAUACUUGUAAAUAAGUUGCGACGGACGGGAUAACUAUCGAUUACCCAAUUUAAACUAUUGACCGAGUUGAUCAUUUUGGCACUCUCUUUCGUCAAUUUAUAUUGACCACUAUAUUCCAAGUGCUACCAAAUAGGCUACCCUGUCGGAAUUGUAAAUUGAGGCGAUCGUAAAGAUUCAUAAAGCGUCGUUAAAUAACACUUAUGUUAAUGAUCGCGCGCGUACACAUGUGCAGGAACGCGAUCGUAGAAAUGUGACCAUUGGUGUUAAUAAAAGCAUGCGGACAAUAUGGCUGUCGGCCAACGUUACAAAAAUUCUCCUCGAGUCUAAUUUCAUCUCGAAGGUGGCGGGUAAAAAUUUUCCACUUCGAACUCGUAUCAUUGUCCUUUUCCGUUGAACAACGAGAUACGAUUGUCUUCGACUGAACUAUGUACCAUUCAACGUGGUCGACUAUUAGACACCAUGCGGUAACCAAAUACAAACACGUGACGAGCGAUCCAAGAAGACGCUGUUACAGCGAAAUCUCUAUACCGGCAGAUUAAGCUGAAACUAUUAAAAUUCACGGAGUCGUAUGACACCUGUAUCGAGAAAUGAAAAUAAACGCGGUAAAUAGCGCCACUUGACUUUCUACCAGGAAACUACAUAAUUCGAUUGUUUAGAAAUUCUGACACGUUACACGAUGAUGCGCAUCGACUUUCUUUGAGUAAGAUUACUGAAUAAAGUAAAGGUUAGUGAUGAUAGAUUUCCCCUUAACCUUCCACUAGUUACAACGGAUAAGGUUAGUAUGACACUGAAGUUGCUAUAAGUAACCUAAAAAGUACUAUCACUUUCAAGAAGGAUCGAUAUAAUUUAUUGCGAUUCACUGUUUAUAACUUUAGAUAUUUUUAGAUAAACUCGAUUGGAGAUGAUAGCAAACGAUUUCAGAGAGAGUUAUGAUCGAUUAGAAUAAGCGAUUGGAAAGAUAAAAUAUAUGAAAAUUCGAAUAUUUGCAAAAUUAAACACAACGAAUAUUGGGUGCGCAGAACGCACUGCGCAUGUAUCAUGGCGGCAACUUUUUAAUCGCACAGUUCGAAAUUUGUCAAGACUUUCUACUUGAUACAACGUAAAACCAUAAUGAUUUCCGUGGCGAGACUAGGCUGUAUGGAUAAAAGUACUGUCGCAACAUAAAAUAAUCAAAAAUCUAGAUGCAAGUGAUAGUUCACAUGCAAGAACCUAUUUUACGGACAUGGUAUGCAUUCUUUGCCGCUAUUCACCAAUGUCACUUUCUAAGUAGUGCCACCUACGAUAUACGAUAUAAAUUGUUAGAUGACAAUCAGGUAUGUAUUAAUGAUAGUUUCAAACAUGUUUGUGCAACGAUAUAAGCAACAUUUCUAAUAUUAAACACGAACAAAAAAUUAAUGCCGAGUAUCAAGUAUUUUAGGUUAGGCAACGCGUCAACUGAAGUUAACAACUUUUACUUGUUCAACAAAUUCAUAUUAACCCUUUCAAUUGCAUAAUUCUAUUGACGAUUGGACAUAUGGUGUUAAGGAUCAUAAUACUCUGCGAUAAGCGAAACAACUGUAACCUCAACAACAGAGUGAAAAAGACGGCGGAAGCGAGUUAUCGUAACAAUCGAUAACAGUUUGCGCGACAAUCGAUAGCUCUUUUCAACGGCUUUUGCGUCAAGAUAAAAAUCCAGGAAUUUGCAUUGGCUAAUGAGGAAUACAAAGAAUCAACAAUAAGUGGCACAACGAAGGAUCUUAACACUUUCAUGAAAAUUCGCCCUGGUGGCGCAAAUGCUCUAUCUAAAAAUACGUCGAUCUCCCCCCCCCCCUCCCCCGGUAAGUGUAAAUAACAAAUAUAUAUAUAUAUGUAUGUACUUCGAAUACGAAGUGCACUGUAAACACAAACAGUGGUGAUAAAGAAACGAGUGGCGUUGCGUCGUUUCUUUCUUUAUCUCUGCACAGGUUUAACGCGUUUUAUGCAUCAACCGAAAUAAUAUCGUCUGCUCAGAAACGCAAACAAUGCGCGUCGAUGGAGGUACUUACAUGCCACUUAGAAAAGAUAUAUUUAAACUGGUAGUCACAAAAAUAUUAGUAUACGUAAGCUUUUUUUACAAGUUAGUUGCCGAGUAACGACGAUAUUUUUUCCGCUCCGUCUUCCAUUGAAUGCCCGAGAAGAUAUGGCUUCAAUAAGUCGCGCACACUAUUCUACGGAUAAGGAUCCCAUGUGUGUCGUAUCGGGAGCAUCGAAUAUUCUCGUAAAUAUCAGAUUUUAUAUCCUCUUUCUUUCUUUCAGUUCAACGACUGCUUAGAAUUUGAAGAAUCAAGAAGGGAUGCUUCGUAACCACCGCACGAGUUCAAGUCUAUUUUAGCGGCAAAAUGUUUUGCUAGCCAUUUUGCGGUGAAAUAGCAAACGGUAAUGCAAUCCAGAUAUCACUCGCGAGCAGUUAUUUCCUCGAAACGCGCUCCGUUGAUUUGUUUCCACGUUCUGCGAACGAAGAAAACCGUGUGUGUACGCGUUACGAUAAAUUUAAGAUCGCGAGAGUAGCAACCGAAAUAUAUUCCUGCACGCAGGCAGCAGCCGAGAAAUCUCAUAAACGCAUCCGCCACACGCGAUUACGUGCGUGUGUGUGUGUGUUCCCCUAACACAGAGAGAACAAUGACUCGAAGAAGAAGCGGACGUGUCGUCUUUAUUUUUCCCUCGCAACAAGUUCUGCGGGGAUCGACGACGUGCCAGCGACGCGUUCGCUUAGCAUGCACGGCGAAACUUUCGAGCAAGGUGCAGGAGGCACCGUUUUAUAGAUAAUUCGCGAGCGACUUAUAAAAGCUCGAGAGAGAGUGAAGAUUGUUGAACCACAGGCAACAUUGCAUGCACGAGCAUCGAGUAAUUACAUACGAUAUAACGGUUCUGUGCCCACGACGCUCGAAAAGAAACGAACCGCGAUAAGAAUGAAUAGGCUGUUGCUGGGAACCAUUUUCACCGAAUACGUUACUAUGCUACUCGCGAUCGUAACGCGCUCUAAGCACGGAAACAAAAAAAUCAUUUCAAAAAUGUUAUACAACGUUAUAGUUUCAAUUUACGAAGGCUUCGUCGUUAGUAUAAGUUACGAGUUAUAAGCUUGAACAUUAAUUUGAUACUGUAACGUUAUAUAAAAGUUUCUAACUUAUUCGCGAUUGUAGCAAGAAGUCGCAGUUUCACCAUCGGCUUUAUACAAAUUAAAACUUUUAAUCCAUGCAUUGAAACUGAUCAGACUAUUUAUACUCAUCAUCCCCUACAAUUUAAGCCUAGCCGAUGAUCAAGCCUCUUCUCGUAUAUAAAGCUGUGACUCACUAAAGACAAUACAAAGAGAAAACACGUCUGAAUUCGUGACCGCUGCAAAUUGCGUAGCAUACACAGUCGUUCCGUGCAGGAGGAGCGAAUGAUUCAUACUUCGAAGCAGCAAAUCGUUUGAACGACGAUACAAUAACCCAAGUGGCAUUUUUUUUUUUUUUUUUUAUCUUCUUUUUGCUCUACCGAUUUACGUUACACCGAGGCACGUUGUUGUAAUUGGCGAUCCGCGAGUACCGAGUGCACGAGAUAACGACGAUAACAGGAAAUCUAAGCCUUGAAUUUCUAUCUUUGUUUAACGUUCGAAAAUGCAACGAAAGGAAAACUUAUCGAAUCGAGGCGACGCGACGCAAAGAGGAAAGGGUAUAGGUGUGUAUGUGUCUCUCCCAUUAGUACCUCCGCGUUGGUUCAUACUUUCUUCUAUCCACGUCCCACCUAUAGCCUUAUUUCUCUUGCUUCUGCGUACGUGUUCCAGACUCGGGUAAACAUAUACACGGGUGCGUGGUGUACAUGUGUAUUGCCCACGGAUAUAUUUACGUACAGCAUGUACGGCUUCGAUUGUUGGUUCGUCAACUGCGAGUGAAAUCAAACAAAAACACUUGCCGGCGCGCUCUACGCGAGUACGAUGCACAGAUUGAAAGAAACAAUUUUUCUUUCAACCUUGUUCUACUAUUUAUAGACACCGCUAAUGUAGCACCGAAGAGAAAAGGGGUAACAACGUGGGAAUGAAUGGGUUUUCACGUCCCAUUAUUAAAAGCCAAGACAAAGAGUAUAAUCCGAUCUAUACCGAAGCAUUGCAAAGGAUAUCCUCGAGCGUGGAAUCAGCAAAAAAAAGAAGAAAGAAGAAUACAAACGGGGUCUAAUCCAUUUGUCUGACGGGUGAAGAAAACCGAUGAAAGAAUGAAUAUUUAUGGGAAAAAGGAAAUUAAUAUCUACCCGCUAAUGUGUAGCGUGUAAUAAACGACCAGGGUCACGAAUUUUUCGUUCUUUACGUUUCUUUUUUUAACUCGCGUUUGUGUGCUGAGAAGAAAAAAGGAAUUCGAAGAGAAAAAGUAAAACCACGUUGCGUAGGUCACGCACGUACAACGAACCAGACGCAAAGUGAUAAAUGAUAGCGAGGUUUUUGAUCGCACAAACCCCACCAUCGUUCACCGAGUUUAAUCAAGUACGCGCGAAGAAAAUAAUACGUUAGUUUGCCGGGGCUCGGCAAUAAAGCAAGCUUUAACGGAAGUUCACCUGCGACGUAUGACUCUUUACGAAUUAUGAAUGGCAUUCUUCGUAGUUUGUCACGUUUGCACGCGCCUACGUGACUAACAACCAAUUCAUUCCCGGAAUUGAGGAUCGUUUAUAAAUUUUUUUUUUUCUUUUGCGCACUUAAACAAUAUCGUAAAUUAUAAAACACCUUCUAUUAGGAAUAAAAAUCUAUUCGUGUAUUUACAGAAUGUUCCAACCGAAGAAGACUAUCUAGACAUGAAUAAACAAUGAUUGUUCACUGAACGUGGAAGCGAUCAGUGCGGCUUUCAAGCAGUUCAUUUAUGGAUCUUCAGACACAUCAGUGUAUUUCUGUACACACGUAUUUAUACACUCGACGUGUAACCCUUCACCUCAUCUCGCGGACGACACAGGAGGGAUAAGUUUAAAGAUUGCAAGAGCAAUUGCCCUGGUUGGCGUCGCACAACGCGACAGCCUCUGCAGGGAAAAAGUGAAGAGACGAACAAAAAAAAAAAAAAGAAGAAGAAGAAAAAAAAGGAAAAAGAAUUGUAGAAAAACAAGGCCUCCUCUGAGAGCUGAGAGUUCUGGAACGUGCGUUGGCCAGCCUGCCGACGAUUCUAUCUAUUGCGCACAGCCCAGCUGACAGUCCAAUCAGCUGUAAACGUACACAAAAGCGUCGUCCAACAGGUCCACGCGUUCUUACAAACCGAACUAUGUAUAUCGUUUUUAUUGCGCGUAGAAAAUAGCAUUUAAUUACAAUACUGUUUCCUUUCCGCGCUCAAGUGUGACGCAGCCUGAUUUACCAAUAACAAUUAGGUGCUAAUUAGUGAUAAUUAAGAUAGUUUCUCCUUUUUUAAUUUUCAAAUUACGUUGCGUGGCUAUUACAACAUUGUAUGGAUGAUAAAUAAAUUUCAGUCGAAAGUUUAUAUCUCGGAAAUCUUUGUUGAAUUAGAUAACAAGGAAAAUCUUGAAAAUCUCAAACGGUAAGAGUUAUCGAAAAUAUUCUUACGCAAUUGUGUUUAGUGGGUGAAAAUCUCAACUAAUGACCGAAAAAGGAUUGUCGCUCUAAUUCACUUUAGCUUGUUUGUAAAUCUAUCCAAGUAUAAUGCCACGGAUAGGAAGAGUUUCCUUGCGGCGAGGCGUCGCGGGGACUCGUGCUCCGCUGGUCAGACAGGAAUCGCGCGAGGCUACACCACUGUAACUUAAAUAAACAGCCGAGAGAGGAACAAGCGCGCACACAGCCGCUUCGAGUUUAGUUAAUUCGGGUCAUCGUCCUUCGUCACUCGUCGCGCAUAUUUAAUUUUCCAUGUAAGCGUCCUGACGACGCGACGGAUGUCGCUUUCAAAGCGAAUUGCACUUUAAUAUGCACCUUGUAUACCCGCGUCCUCGUACAACGGUUCUCGGUCUAUUAAAUUCGAAAGGCGCCAUAGACCGAAGAAAGCCCGGGAUGGUUAAACAAAUUGCGAUCGAUACGAUAUGUAGAUGGUAAAAAAUAACCGAGGUAACAGUCGAGGCAUUCUCGUCGAUAAGGUCGAUCUUAUUGAAUUAGCGUGUUUAGUUAACCUCGCCAAAUAUUUACGAGAGAAAAAUCAAUGGAAGUUUGACGGUCGGAAACACUGACAAGUAGCGUUACGUCAAUUCCCUCCUUUCUCUGUCUACCACUUAACCUUACCACAGACCGUUCUAUGCGAGAGUAUUAUGUAUGUAGGUGUUUUUUUUUGUUUUUUUUUUUAAUGCGAUCGAAGCCUUCCACACAUAUGUGUAAUGUAUACAGAGGAGAAAGAAAACGUCGCAAGGGUACUACGACGAGGAGGCACGUUAAAAGAUAACACAGUUCGAACGUUUUUAUGACGCGUCGGUUGAAUCAGCUGUGAGUGUGUACAAAACAAGAGAGCGUGUAUUAUCUGGUGACAUUGGCGUCGUUAAGUAUCAGUGAAAAUUUAUCGUCGGAAACGGCGUGUAAAACACCGGUGUCGUUGACAUUGCGACUGAUUAAAAAUCAUUCUCAAAAUAAAGAGUAUAAAUGAAAAAUAAACACACCGGUAAGUUCAUGAUAGGAGAUUUUUCAUUUACAACCAAGUAACGUGAUUUUUCUCCUACACAUACACGUGCGUACGUGACGACACAGCUACUCGAUAUGGCAGAAUUUACACUGUUACCAAGCGUGAAUGGUCUAAACAGAAUAGAGAAUCGAGUUGAAAUGAAAAUUAAACGAAUUAUCGCACGAGAUUCGAUGCGAAUAACGCGAAGAUGAUAUAAAUCGUUUCGGAGACGCCACGAAACGACGGCCCUGGAUCUUUCGUGUAAGGCAGCUGACAGCCUCCCGUCAGCUGAGAGCGUACACAAAGUCUGAUGCCGUAUGCGCACAUAAUCUUAAUCUUCGGCCUGUUUCCAAGCGAGAACUCACUACCGUAAAAAAACUGAUAUAAGGUUGUUUAACUGCACGCACGAUGCUGUGUUACGAUGCUCUAAAUGAUUGCACAUUAAAAAUACACAGAGUUGAGAAAAGAAGAAGAAAAAAAAA